GCGGCCGCGGAGGAGGGGGCGACCACAAGAUGGCGGACCUCUCGCUGCUCCAGGAGGACCUGCAGGAGGACGCAGACGGAUCCCUGGACUUUGUCUCACAAGAUGAAAUGUUGACGCCCCUGGGGAGAUUGGACAAGUAUGCUGCAAGUGAGAACGUAUUUAACAGGUAUGCGCAUAUUCUUUUUGUUAAAGUGGAAGUGGAAGGGUGGUUUUAUUAAACUUCAGUAGGGAAAAUGAAAGUAUCUACUUUAAAGGAGGUAUUAUUAACAGGCACAAUCUGAGUCACCAAGUUUUAUUCAUAAUCAUAGCAUGAGCAGUUUUGUACUUGUAUAUUCUUUGAUCCUAGUAAGCAUACAGCACACUUUCUUUGCAAAAAAACUUACCAUUAAUUACCAUUGCUUUUCUGCCACUGGACAUAAUUUUGGUAUUCAUAUAAAUUGCUUAUUGGGAAGUACAUUAUUCCUUCAACACAUGAUGUU
rnacentral:sRNA from 1 species